GUUAACUGGUCAGGGAAAAGAUUUCUUUUGGAACGCAGAAGCCAUCGCUGUGUGCGGAAAUCCAUGACCUGGCCAUGACUUCUACAACCCGGAGGACUUGCCUGGCAUUACCGAAAAGCACAGGGGAAAGAUUCUGUGGCAGAGAAUGGUGGGAGUUGUGAUCCGUACCUCCGUGUGCAUAAUGGUUGUACCUGCUCCAGGAAGGCGCUGGAUCCUCCCAAAUCCAUGGGAAGAGAUUAGGACACAAACAACAGACAGAAGGUGACCACAGGAGGACACAGUGAGAAGCUGGCCAUCUGCAAGCCAAGGAGAGAGACCUCAGGAGAAACCAAACCUGCCAGCACCUUGAUCUUAGACUUCUAGCCCUCAGAACGGUGAGGAAAUAAAUCUCUGUUGUUCAUGCC
rnacentral:lncRNA from 1 species